UACGGGGGGGGGCAAGCGUUGUUCGGAAUUACUGGGCGUAAAGGGCUCGUAGGUGGCCAACUAAGUCAUACGUGAAAUCCCUCGGCUUAACCGGGGAACUGCGUCUGAUACUGGAUGGCUUGAGGUUGGGAGAGGGAUGCGGAAUUCCAGGUGUAGCGGUGAAAUGCGUAGAUAUCUGGAGGAACACCGGUGGCGAAGGCGGCCCACUGGUCCGGUACUGACGGCUGAGGUGCGAAAGCGUGGGGAGGCAAACAGGAAUUGAGAAACCCCGGUAGGGUCCAAG
rnacentral:rRNA from 1 species